AAAAUGAAAAAGGACCUUGGUCAGGGAGGUGACCAAGAACCCAAUGGAGCUCUACAGUUCCUCUGUGGAGAUGGGAGAACCUUCCAGAAGGACAACCAUCUCUGCUGUACUCCACCAAUCAGGCCUUUAUGGUAAAAUGGCCCGACGGAAGCCACUUCUCAGUAAAAGGCACAUGACAGCCUGCUUGGAGUUUGCCAAAAGGCACCUAAAGACUCUCAGGCCAUGAGAAACAAGAUUCUCUGGUCUGAUGAAACCAAGAUUGAAUUAUUUGGCCUGAAUGCCAAGCGUCACAUCUGGAGGAAACCUGGCACUAUCCCUACAGUGAAGCGUGGUGGCAGCAUCAUGCUGUGGGAGACUAGUCCGGAUCGAGGGAAAGAUUAACAGAGAAAAGUACAGAGAGAUCCUUGAUGAAAACCUGCUCCAGAGCGCUCAGGACCUCAGACGGGGGUGACGGUUCACCUUCCAACAGGACAACGACACUAAGCACACAGCCAAGACAAUGCAGGAGUGGCUUCGGGACAAGUCUCUGAAUGUCCUUGCGGGGCCCAGCCAGAGCCCAGAGUUGAACCCGAUUUAACAUCUCUGGAGAGACCUGAAAACAGCUUUGAAGCGACGCUCCCCAUCCAACCUGACAGAGCUUGAGAGGAUCUGCAGAGAAGAAUGGGAGAAACUCCCCUAAUACAGUUUCACACUGGCAACCCCCAAAACCUUGCUACCACCACUGAGAACCACUGAUCUAUAAGUGCAAAACAAAAACACACAAAAGUA
ensembl:lncRNA